rnacentral:misc_RNA from 1 species
CAAAAAGGCAAGUGAAAUCUGGCAGCCUAAAUGGUACUGUAUUGUAUGCUUUAUACUCAAGAGCAGAAGGUUACGAACUUCAGAAAAUGGAUCUGAAGUGUUUUAAAAUUGAUGGUUGAUGUAUUUUUAUCUCUCCUAACUAAUGAUACUUCAGAUCACAAUGGCUGCAGGGCUAGGGAUAAUAUUUUAUGCAGGUUUAUCGAGUGGAGAUGUCUGGAAGGAAUUUUACCAAUACUUCAGAGAAAGCAGAUUCGUCCAUGCGACGUCGAUUGAUUUCAGUUUACUAUCGGCAUUUGCACCCUUCUGGAUUUACAAUGAUAUGACUGCUCGAAAGUGGUAUGACAAAGGAUCUUGGCUUCUUCCGCUGUCGGUGAUCCCUUUUUUGGGUCCAGCACUAUACCUUCUCCUACGCCCAUCUCUUCCAACAGUACCAGCCUUAUCAAGCCCAACUUCGACUGAGGAAAAAUGAUACAGAUUUCUUACACAAGGAUUCUACUAGCAUGGUACAUUGAGCAAAUAUUACAGACUGGUGAAAACUCUGCUGUCUGUAAUGUACAGUAAAGAGCACAAACAACAACAAACUGUUUUUUCAGGUUAUCACCUGCUCUGUAGAGCAUAGAUCAGCAGUUGAAAUGAAGACCAUUUAUGGUGGAAAUUACUAACUUGUUGCUCGUCUUUUCUUCUUAAUUCUAUUAUACUGCUAUUGCUUUAUAUUAAUUUUCACACGAUGCAUAUAAUUUCCAAUUUCAAGUAUACUAUAAU